AACGCACAUUGCGCCCUUUGGUAUUCCAAAGGGCAUGCCUGUUCGAGCGUCAUUUGUACCCUCAAGCUUUGCUUGGUGUUGGGCGUUUUUUGUCUUUGGUUGCCAAAGACUCGCCUUAAAAGGAUUGGCAGCCGGCCUACUGGUUUCGCAGCGCAGCACAUUUUUGCGCUUGCAAUCAGCAAAAGAGGACGGCACUCCAUCAAGACUCCUUCUCACGUUUGACCUCGGAUCAGGUAGGGAUACCCGCUGAACUUAA
rnacentral:misc_RNA from 1 species